GGUUAAGCGACUAAGCGUACACGGUGGAUGCCCUGGCAGUCAGAGGCGAUGAAGGACGUGCUAAUCUGCGAUAAGCGCCGGUAAGGUGAUAUGAACCGUUAUAACCGGCGAUACCCGAAUGGGGAAACCCAGUGUGACUCGUCACACUAUCAUUAACUGAAUCCAUAGGUUAAUGAGGCGAACCGGGGGAACUGAAACAUCUAAGUACCCCGAGGAAAAGAAAUCAACCGAGAUUCCCCCAGUAGCGGCGAGCGAACGGGGAGGAGCCCAGAGCCUGAAUCAGCAUGUGUGUUAGUGGAAGCGUCUGGAAAGGCGCGCGAUACAGGGUGACAGCCCCGUACACAAAAGCGCAUGUGCUGUGAGCUCGAUGAGUAGGGCGGGACACGUGGUAUCCUGUCUGAAUAUGGGGGGACCAUCCUCCAAGGCUAAAUACUCCUGACUGACCGAUAGUGAACCAGUACCGUGAGGGAAAGGCGAAAAGAACCCCGGCGAGGGGAGUGAAAAAGAACCUGAAACCGUGUACGUACAAGCAGUGGGAGCCCCACCACUAAGCCAGUGGUGAACUCCACAUACGCAUCCUUUGCUGAGGAUACGGUUAACGGAGCGAAAGCGACGUUCAACCGCAAAAGAAGCAGAGGGGGCUUAGUGGUGGGGUGACUGCGUACCUUUUGUAUAAUGGGUCAGCGACUUAUAUUCUGUAGCAAGGUUAACCGAAUAGGGGAGCCGGAGGGAAACCGAGUCUUAAUUGGGCGUUAAGUUGCAGGGUAUAGACCCGAAACCCGGUGAUCUAGCCAUGGGCAGGUUGAAGGUUGGGUAACACUAACUGGAGGACCGAACCGACUAAUGUUGAAAAAUUAGCGGAUGACCUGUGGCUGGGGGUGAAAGGCCAAUCAAACCGGGAGAUAGCUGGUUCUCCCCGAAAGCUAUUUAGGUAGCGCCUCGUGAAUUCAUCUCCGGGGGUAGAGCACUGUUUCGGCUAGGGGGCCAUCCCGGCUUACCAACCCGAUGCAAACUGCGAAUACCGGAGAAUGUUAUCACGGGAGACACACGGCGGGUGCUAACGUCCGUCGUGAAGAGGGAAACAACCCAGACCGCCAGCUAAGGUCCCAAAGUCAUGGUUAAGUGGGAAACGAUGUGGGAAGGCCCAGACAGCCAGGAUGUUGGCUUAGAAGCAGCCAUCAUUUAAAGAAAGCGUAAUAGCUCACUGGUCGAGUCGGCCUGCGCGGAAGAUGUAACGGGGCUAAACCAUGCACCGAAGCUGCGGCAGCGACACUGUGUGUUGUUGGGUAGGGGAGCGUUCUGUAAGCCUGUGAAGGUGUGUCGUGAGGCAUGCUGGAGGUAUCAGAAGUGCGAAUGCUGACAUAAGUAACGAUAAAGCGGGUGAAAAGCCCGCUCGCCGGAAGACCAAGGGUUCCUGUCCAACGUUAAUCGGGGCAGGGUGAGUCGACCCCUAAGGCGAGGCCGAAAGGCGUAGUCGAUGGGAAACGGGUUAAUAUUCCCGUACUUGGUGUUACUGCGAAGGGGGGACGGAGAAGGCUAUGUUGGCCGGGCGACGGUUGUCCCGGUUUAAGCGUGUAGGUGUGUGUUCCAGGUAAAUCCGGUUCACUUUAACACUGAGGCGUGACGACGAGGCACUACGGUGCUGAAGCAACAAAUGCCCUGCUUCCAGGAAAAGCCUCUAAGCAUCAGGUAACAUCAAAUCGUACCCCAAACCGACACAGGUGGUCAGGUAGAGAAUACCAAGGCGCUUGAGAGAACUCGGGUGAAGGAACUAGGCAAAAUGGUGCCGUAACUUCGGGAGAAGGCACGCUGACACGUAGGUGAAGUGAUUUACUCAUGGAGCUGAAGUCAGUCGAAGAUACCAGCUGGCUGCAACUGUUUAUUAAAAACACAGCACUGUGCAAACACGAAAGUGGACGUAUACGGUGUGACGCCUGCCCGGUGCCGGAAGGUUAAUUGAUGGGGUCAGCGCAAGCGAAGCUCCUGAUCGAAGCCCCGGUAAACGGCGGCCGUAACUAUAACGGUCCUAAGGUAGCGAAAUUCCUUGUCGGGUAAGUUCCGACCUGCACGAAUGGCGUAAUGAUGGCCAGGCUGUCUCCACCCGAGACUCAGUGAAAUUGAACUCGCUGUGAAGAUGCAGUGUACCCGCGGCAAGACGGAAAGACCCCGUGAACCUUUACUAUAGCUUGACACUGAACAUUGAGCCUUGAUGUGUAGGAUAGGUGGGAGGCUUUGAAGUGUGGACGCCAGUCUGCAUGGAGCCGACCUUGAAAUACCACCCUUUAAUGUUUGAUGUUCUAACGUGGACCCGUUACCCGGGUUGCGGACAGUGUCUGGUGGGUAGUUUGACUGGGGCGGUCUCCUCCUAAAGAGUAACGGAGGAGCACGAAGGUUGGCUAAUCCUGGUCGGACAUCAGGAGGUUAGUGCAAUGGCAUAAGCCAGCUUGACUGCGAGCGUGACGGCGCGAGCAGGUGCGAAAGCAGGUCAUAGUGAUCCGGUGGUUCUGAAUGGAAGGGCCAUCGCUCAACGGAUAAAAGGUACUCCGGGGAUAACAGGCUGAUACCGCCCAAGAGUUCAUAUCGACGGCGGUGUUUGGCACCUCGAUGUCGGCUCAUCACAUCCUGGGGCUGAAGUAGGUCCCAAGGGUAUGGCUGUUCGCCAUUUAAAGUGGUACGCGAGCUGGGUUUAGAACGUCGUGAGACAGUUCGGUCCCUAUCUGCCGUGGGCGCUGGAGAACUGAGGGGGGCUGCUCCUAGUACGAGAGGACCGGAGUGGACGCAUCACUGGUGUUCGGGUUGUCAUGCCAAUGGCACUGCCCGGUAGCUAAAUGCGGAAGAGAUAAGUGCUGAAAGCAUCUAAGCACGAAACUUGCCCCGAGAUGAGUUCUCCCUGAGACUUAGAGUCUCCUGAAGGAACGUUGAAGACGACGACGUUGAUAGGCCGGGUGUGUAAGCGCAGCGAUGCGUUGAGCUAACCGGUACUAAUGAACCGUGAGGCUUAACCUU
rnacentral:rRNA from 1 species